rnacentral:rRNA from 13 species
UGCAACUCGACCUCAUGAAGUCGGAGUCGCUAGUAAUCGCAGAUCAGCAACGCUGCGGUGAAUACGUUCCCGGGGCUUGUACACACCGCCCGUCAAGUCAUGAAAGUCGGUAACACUCGAAGCCGGUGGCCUAACACUUUUUGUGGGGGAGCUGUCGAAGGUGGGACUGGUGAUUAGGACUAAGUCGUAACAAGGUAGCCGUACCGGAAGGUGCGGCUGGAUCACCUCCUU